rnacentral:rRNA from 1 species
GCGAGUGAAGCGGCAAGAGCUCAAAUUUGAAAGCUGGCUCCUUCGGAGUCCGCAUUGUAAUUUGCAGAGGAUGCUUUGGGUGCGGCCCCCGUCUAAGUGCCCUGGAACGGGCCGUCAGAGAGGGUGAGAAUCCCGUCUUGGGCGGGGUGUCCGUGCCCGUGUAAAGCUCCUUCGACGAGUCGAGUUGUUUGGGAAUGCAGCUCUAAAUGGGUGGUAAAUUUCAUCUAAAGCUAAAUACUGGCCGGAGACCGAUAGCGCACAAGUAGAGUGAUCGAAAGAUGAAAAGCACUUUGAAAAGAGAGUUAAACAGCACGUGAAAUUGUUGAAAGGGAAGCGCUUGCGACCAGACUCGCCCGCGGGGUUCAGCCCCGGCAUUUCGUGCCGGUGUAACUUCCCCGUGGGCGGGGCCAGGGUUGGGUUUUGGGCGGCCGGUCAAAGGCCCCUGGAAUGUAGUACCCUCCCGGGGUACCUUAUAAGCCAGGGGUGCAAUGCGGCCAGCCUGGACCGAGGAACGCGCUUCCGGCACGGACGCUGGCAUAAUGGUCGUAAACGACCCGUCUUGAAACACGGACCAAGGAGUCUAACAUCUACGCGAGUGUUCGGGUGUCAAACCCGUGCGCGCAGUGAAAGCGAACGGAGGUGGGAGCCCCCUCGCGGGGCGCACCAUCGACCGAUCCUGAUGUCUUCGGAUGGAUUUGAGUAAGAGCGUAAAUGUGGGGACCCGAAAGAUGGUGAACUAUGCCUGAAUAGGGCGAAGCCAGAGGAAACUCUGGUGGAGGCUCGCAGCGGUUCUGACGUGCAAAUCGAUCGUCAAAUUUG